CGGGGCAGGUGUGCAGGGCAGGCGUGCAGGGGCAAGGCAGGUGCGUAAGAGCGAGGCAGAUGCGCAGGUGCGCGGACCAGGUCCCGGUUCUGGCGGAUUUGGCCCAGGCACCCCCAGCCCCCAGAUCUGGCCGGGUGCGGCGGCUCAUGCCUGUAAUCCCAGCACUUUGGGAGGCCGAAGCAGGUGGAUCACAUGAAGUCAGAAGUUGGAGACUAGCCUGGCCAACAUGCCAGCCUCCAGCAUCGCCUCCUCUGGGAUCUUCUCUGACUUCCCAGUCGGUUUCAGAAGCCUCUGAUGACCCCAUGCGGAGAAGACUGCUCCCCUCACUGCUGGCACACGGCAGAUGCUCAACACUUGCUCCAGCUUCGCCUUCCGCCGCGAGUUGAAGCUCCCCGAGGCCUCCUCAGAAGCAGAAGCCACCACGCUUCCUGUACAGCCUGUGGGACCCGGAGCCAGUUCAACCUCUUUUCUUUAUAAAUUACCCAGACUCGGCCGGGCACGGUGGCUCACGCCUGUAAUCCCAGCACUUUGUUGAGACCGAGGCAGGCAGAUCACGAGGUCAGGAGAUCGAGAACAUCCUGGCUAACACGGUGAAACCCCGUCUCUACUAAAAAUACAAAAAAUUAGCCGGGCGUGGUGGCGGGCGCCUGUGGUCCCAGCUACUCGGGAGGCUGAGGCAGGAGAAUGGUGUGAACCCGGG
rnacentral:lncRNA from 1 species